GCCCGGGUGGCGGAAUUUGGCAGACGCGCUAGGUUGAGGGCCUAGUCGGCCGUUAGGUCGGUGCUGGUUCGAAUCCAGUCCCGGGCA
rnacentral:tRNA from 1 species